rnacentral:rRNA from 1 species
UACGAAGGGGGGCUAGCGUUGCUCGGAAUGACUGGGCGUAAAGGGCGCGUAGGCGGUUUGUACAGUCAGGUGUGAAAUUCCCGGGCUCAACCUGGGGGCUGCACUUGAUACGUAGGAACUUGAGUGGGGAAGAGGGUCGUGGAAUUCCCAGUGUAGAGGUGAAAUUCGUAGAUAUUGGGAAGAACACCGGUGGCGAAGGCGGCGACCUGGUCCUUGACUGACGCUGAGGAGCGAAAGCGUGGGGAGCGAACAGG